AAAGAAGUUAAAUCAACGUGCCAGGUCCCGCAGCAGAGGGUGCUGAUCCCAGCCGCAAACCCAUGUCAGUCCGACUCCAGAAGGCAGAUGGUCACCACCCACUGAACUCGGACAGGACCCCCUGCCAAGCCAGGCAGGCCCGGACCUGAUAUGCUGCAGCCUGUCUGGAGUCUGUUCUGCGAGGCGGAGAGCCUGGCUGACAGCAGGCUGCCUGGGCAUUCUGCCCACCCAACCCUCAGACUCAGUCUCCCAAGGCAACAG